CCGAGCCGCGUCCCCCUUCUACCGCAAGCCGAGCCGACACCUGCACUCAAGCCGAGCUGAUCCCUGCUUUUUCAGUCGAGCCGCCAAGCCCUUUUGAGCCACCUAGCUUUUUUCGGUCUUUUCCCCACCUGUCAUUGGGCCGAUUGGACCAAUUGGAGUUGGAGCGUGGGAUUUCUCGACUUAAAGGAAAUUAUUGCAACAUUGAUCUUGGCGCAUUCUCUUGCUGUUAGAGUUCGAUCGAGCAAAUCUCCAGGGUACCUGUUAGCUUAGCCUAUUAGAGUCGUACCUACAUGGGUGUCCUUCGAGAUCACCACCGAUUUAGGACUGCGUAGUCCGACGGGACGCCAGUCUAGCAUGGAUAUAGAUAUGAUUUGAGUGAUUCGACGGGAUCCUCGCAGCCCGAUUGUCUUAGUGCUUCAUCUGGGUUCGCUACAGACCAGUACGUCCUAGAUGCUCCCCCGGGACACCGAAGACCAGAUUUUCGUUCCUACGGGAGCGCAUGUUGCACGUGUUCGAGAACGUGCCAGUUAUUGGGUAGAGGCCAAGGUAAGGGCAAGGACAAGCUGGCGAGCGACCAGAAGUGACCGUGGUGAGUCAUAGGGAUUUCUGCUUUCGCUUACACCCCGUUUUAAACAUUUAGUACUUGAGUUUUUAUUUUUUUUCUUUAUUUACUAUUUCGUUUCUUUAAAAGUAGAUAGAGCCCGAGUAGCAUAUGUGUGAGAUGUGUGCAAGAUGUGUGCGAAACAUGUGCGAGAUAUGUGCGAGAUGUGUAUGAGAAUAAUACAUAUGUACUAAAAGGCUUCCUAAA